UCUGCUUGAUGAGAAAAUGUGGCUGAAUAACUCGAAAAUUAAAUGUGACAUUCAUCAGCUUCGUCUUUCGUUUUUCUACGGGACAGGAGUUAAAUGCUGUCACAACAUUU